AGUCGAGGGGCAGCAUUUCAGUUUGCUUGCAAACUGGAGAUGGCGACCGGCGCACGGGUGAGUAACACGUAUCCAACCUGCCGAUAACUCGGGGAUAGCCUUUCGAAAGAAAGAUUAAUACCCGAUGGNAUAAUCAGACCGCAUGGUCUUAUUAUUAAAGAAUUUCGGUUAUCGAUGGGGAUGCGUUCCAUUAGGCAGUUGGUGAGGUAACGGCUCACCAAACCUUCGAUGGAUAGGGGUUCUGAGAGGAAGGUCCCCCACAUUGGAACUGAGACACGGUCCAAACUCCUACGGGAGGCAGCAGUGAGGAAUAUUGGUCAAUGGGCGCAGGCCUGAACCAGCCAAGUAGCGUGAAGGAUGACUGCCCUAUGGGUUGUAAACUUCUUUUAUAUGGGAAUAAAGUUUUCCACGUGUGGAAUUUUGUAUGUACCAUAUGAAUAAGGAUCGGCUAACUCCGUGCCAGCAGCCGCGGUAAUACGGAGGAUCCGAGCGUUAUCCGGAUUUAUUGGGUUUAAAGGGAGCGUAGGUGGACAGUUAAGUCAGUUGUGAAAGUUUGCGGCUCAACCGUAAAAUUGCAGUUGAUACUGGCUGUCUUGAGUACAGUAGAGGUGGGCGGAAUUCGUGGUGUAGCGGUGAAAUGCUUAGAUAUCACGAAGAACUCCGAUUGCGAAGGCAGCUCACUGGACUGCAACUGACACUGAUGCUCGAAAGUGUGGGUAUCAAACAGGAUUAGAUACCCUGGUAGUCCACACAGUAAACGAUGAAUACUCGCUGUUUGCGAUAUACAGUAAGCGGCCAAGCGAAAGCAUUAAGUAUUCCACCUGGGGAGUACGCCGGCAACGGUGAAACUCAAAGGAAUUGACGGGGGCCCGCACAAGCGGAGGAACAUGUGGUUUAAUUCGAUGAUACGCGAGGAACCUUACCCGGGCUUAAAUUGCAUUUGAAUANUNUGGAAACAGNNUAGCCGNAAGGCAAAUGUGAAGGUGCUGCAUGGUUGUCGUCAGCUCGUGCCGUGAGGUGUCGGCUUAAGUGCCAUAACGAGCGCAACCCUUAUCUUUAGUUACUAACAGGUCAUGCUGAGGACUCUAGAGAGACUGCCGUCGUAAGAUGUGAGGAAGGUGGGGAUGACGUCAAAUCAGCACGGCCCUUACGUCCGGGGCUACACACGUGUUACAAUGGGGGGUACAGAAGGCAGCUACCUGGUGACAGGAUGCUAAUCCCAAAAGCCUCUCUCAGUUCGGAUCGAAGUCUGCAACCCGACUUCGUGAAGCUGGAUUCGCUAGUAAUCGCGCAUCAGCCAUGGCGCGGUGAAUACGUUCCCGGGCCUUGUACACACCGCCCGUCAAGCCAUGAAAGCCGGGGGUACCUGAAGUACGUAACCGCAAGGAGCUCCUAGG
rnacentral:rRNA from 1 species